rnacentral:rRNA from 1 species
UUCGCAAUGCCCGAAAGGGUGACGAAGCGACGCCGCGUGAGUGAGGAAGGCCUUCGGGUUGUAAAGCUCUGUCAGGAGUUAAGAAAUAUAAGUGUGCUAAUACCACAUUUAUUUGACAAAGGCUCCAAAGGAAGCCACGGCUAACUCUGUGCCAGCAGCCGCGGUAAUACAGAGGUGGCAAGCGUUGUUCGGAAUUAUUGGGCGUAAAGAGCACGUAGGUGGGUUUGUAAGUCAGAUGUGAAAGCCUUCUGUUCAACGGAAGAAUUGCAUCUGAAACUGCGAGUCUUGAGUGUAGGAGGGGAGAAUGGAACUUCUGGUGGAGCGGUGAAAUGCGUAGAUAUCAGAAGGAACGCCGGCGGCGAAAGCGAUUCUCUGGCCUAUUACUGACACUCAGUGUGCGAAAGCUAGGGGAGCAAACGGGAUUAGAUACCCCGGUAGUCCUAGCUGUAAACGAUGGGCACUAAGUAGAGGGGCUUU